GACGAACGCUGGCGGCGUGCUUAACACAUGCAAGUCGAACGGACAGGCCCUGCUCUUGCUGCGUGCUCGUGUGGCGCACGCGUGUGUAAAACGCGAGUAUCCUCCCCUUAACUUUCGGAUAAAUUCAGGGAAAUGGGGCUCAUAUCGGAUAGGAGCUCUUGCUCCGUAGUGGUGGUUAGAAAGUUUCGGCGGUUGGGGCUCGUCUCGCUGCUUAUCCGCUUGAUGGUGGGGUAGUGGCUUACCAAGGGUUUGACGGGUAGCCGGCCUGGGAGGGUGACCGGGCACAUUGGGACUACGAGAGGGAGCAGAAGCCUACGGGCGGCAGCAGGGGGGAAUAUUGCACAAUGGCGGGAAGCCUGAUGCAGCAACGCCGGGUGCGGGAUGACGGCCUUCGGGUUGUAAACCACUUUCGACGGUGACGAAGCGUGAGUGACGGUAAUGGGUAAAGAAGCAACGGCUAACUACGUG
rnacentral:rRNA from 1 species